rnacentral:guide_RNA from 1 species
AUAUAUAAACGACAAGAUACGACGCUCUAAACUACAGUGAUAAUAU